rnacentral:misc_RNA from 1 species
GCUGGACCUCUCGGGGUUACAGCCUUGCUGAUUAUUCACCCUUGUCUUUUGCGUACUUCUUGUUUCCUUGGUGGGUUCGCCCACCACUAGGACAAACAUAAACCUUUUGUAAUUGCAAUCCGCGUCAGAAACAAAUUAAUAAUUACAACUUUCAACAACGGAUCUCUUGGUUCUGGCAUCGAUGAAAAACGCAGCA